CUCAGAUGGACAAAAAAGCACAGGUGGGUGGGGUCAAACGUUUGACCCCGCCCACAUUUGUCCCGGCCCAGAACUGCACACUGCAGUCAGGGUUAUUUGUUAUUUGUAGAUCAGCAUUUAAAGUGGGCAGAGAAAACGGUAGCCGAUUACCAGGAAGAGAAAGAUCGGUUACGAAGAAUGCUGCGGAUCACGCCAGAUAAACUGUAGAAUCGGUGCGUAUGUAGCCUAAUAUUGGACUAAACUGUACUCCUUAGUCCAAGGACCAUACAUGUUCUGUUUAAAGGCGAGUUGUCGCUUGAAGCCAAAACAGCCAAAUACUCCAUAUAAAUGUGAAUCGUUUCUUAAUUGCGGUACAAUUAAAAAAUACCUCUACUACGUCACUUUUGUUUUGAGCCGAAAUCACCGGCCAGAGCGGGGCUCCCGGCUCAGGCAUAGGAGGCAGCCGGUUACGAAACAAAUGCAAUCACUUUGGACUCAGAAGGAUGACGCACAGCUCAUCCGGACCAAUCUGAGAAGACAACAACCUGAUCAGGACCAACCAGAAAACCAGAUCUACCAGACUCAACCUACUUUCUGUCCUGUAUAAAAUGACUAUGUAUUUCUGUUAUCUGGGCUCUGUCUGCAGGUUCCUUACGAGCUGAAUGAACGAGUCCAUGCAUGUUUGUAUCAGAUAUCUUUACCUCUGAAUAAAACUGCUUUUUAUUAUACGAAUAUC